GUGUACAGCUGACACUGUCGCUCUUCCUACCCCGCCCCACCGGGACCGGCGGCAGCGGGUGCCAAACCGCCCCCCGGGAGCCGAGCACGCAGCCAUGCCGAGCGAUGACACUCAGCAGCCGGACUGCCGCCUCGUCUCCAUCUCCAUCUCCAGCGCUUCACAGAGGAGGAUGCCAUGAGAUUUCCCACAGGCCCUCACUGGCACCUGGCUGUGAGUGAACCGGGGGGAAAGAGGGGAUUACCGACGGCGGAUAAUGACGUGAUGGUUCGGUUGUAGAGCGAGCACGGGGGCGCUCCGGGCGUCUUUAAUGACCGGUGGUGGAGAGGAAAUCAGCGGACUUAAUUGUGUGUAUGUGUGCAUGUUUGUGUGUGGAGCCGCGUACUGUACGCUACUGGACCGCAGUCACAAAUAAAUGAACAAACAAAUAGAAACGGUGUCUCAAACAGGUUGCAGAGAUUUCCUUCAAUCUGAGAGGGGGCUUUGCAGCACAGUCGAGGAUGCUAUCCCCCUGAUGGUGACUUUUGCAGGAGUUCCAGCGAGAGGAGGUUUUGAGAGUCACGCUCCACAGGCCUGUCAUGGUUUUCUACCUUUUCA